rnacentral:rRNA from 1 species
AGAGUUUGAUCAUGGCUCAGAGUGAACGCUGGCGGCGUGCCUAAUACAUGCAAGUCGAACGAUGAAGCUUUUAGCUUGCUAGAAGUGGAUUAGUGGCGCACGGGUGAGUAAGGUAUAGUUAAUCUGCCCUACACAAGAGGACAACAGUUGGAAACGACUGCUAAUACUCUAUACUCCUGCUUAACACAAGUUGAGUAGGGAAAGUUUUUCGGUGUAGGAUGAGACUAUAUAGUAUCAGCUAGUUGGUAAGGUAAUGGCUUACCAAGGCUAUGACGCUUAACUGGUCUGAGAGGAUGAUCAGUCACACUGGAACUGAGACACGGUCCAGACUCCUACGGGAGGCAGCAGUAGGGAAUAUUGCGCAAUGGGGGAAACCCUGACGCAGCAACGCCGCGUGGAGGAUGACACUUUUCGGAGCGUAAACUCCUUUUCUUAGGGAAGAAUUCUGACGGUACCUAAGGAAUAAGCACCGG